CCUGGUUUAAGGACCAUGGUAUCCCUGUUCUUAAUUGGCCAGCAAACUCGCCUGACCUUAACCCCAUAGAAAAUCUAUGGGGUAUUGUGAAGAGGAAGAUGCGAUAUGCCAGACCCAAGAAUGCAAAAGAGCUGAAGGCAACUAUCAGAGCAACCUGGGUUCUCAUAACACCUGAGCAGUGCCACAGACUGAUCGACUCCAUGCCACGCUGCAUUGCUGCAGUAAUUCAGGCAAAAGGAGCCCCAACUAAGUAUUGAGUGCUGUACAUGCUCAUACUUUUCAUUUUUAUACUUUUCAGUUGGCCAAGAUUUCUAAAAAUCCUUUCUUUGUAUUGGUCUUAAGUUAUAUUCUAAUUUUCUGAGAUACCGAAUUUGGGAUUUUCCUUAGUUGUCAGUUAUAAUCAUCAAAAUUAAAAGAAAUAAACAUUUGAAAUAUAUCAGUCUGUGUGUAAUGAAUGAAUAUAAUAUACAAGUUUCACUCUUUGAAUGGAAUUAGUGAAAUAAAUCAACUUUUUGAUUAUUCUAAUUAUAUGACCAGCACCUGUAUAUAUAUAUAUAUAUAUCAUUUCUGUACAUAGUUACUGAAUUACUCAAUCAGUCACUCCUCACACUUAAAUGGAUUACCCAGCCCAGUUUGGGGAGGGAUAUUUUUUAAAGUUUACAAGAAUGAUCAUUUCAUUUCAUGCUGUCAUUCUGUUUCUCCAGGUGAAGCCCUGACAUGUAAUUCUUGUAAAGUGGGCAUUCUAGGCAAAUGUUUAUUCAGUUCCCAAGUGUCCUGCGCUGCCUCUGAGCCCAACUGCUACACUGCCAAAGCAGAGUUCAAUGUGACUGGGUUUCUGAGUCUGUCCUCAAGUGGCUGCACAUCUGACUGCAACAACACCGCCGGGACCGUCCUGGGAGCAGGGUACACCGUGACCAAAGCCUGCUGCGCCACAGACCUGUGCAGCGGAGCGAGUGCAGCGCAGCUGUCUGUGGCUGGGGCUCUCAGCGCCGCACUACUGGCCUCCUUCUCUUACACCUUCUCGUCUGUACAGUGUUAUGCUCUCAAUACCUCACUGAAUCGGAAUCAGUGAAGAUAUGAUCUAUAGAUCCCAAAACUUCCUGUAACUUGAAUAGUUUUACACCACUGUGUUUACUUAUCUCUUUGCUAAUAUGCAGUGGUAUUUUUUUUUUACAAUAAUUUACAUACGAUGUAAAACAUAUUUAAAAUUUCAACACUUUAGCUGAUGUCAUUUUUAAUAAAACCUAUAUUUGGAUGCA
ensembl:lncRNA